rnacentral:rRNA from 1 species
CGUGUAGGCGGGAAGGUAAGUCGGGCGUGAAAUCCCUGAGCUCAACUCAGGAACUGCACUCGAAACUACUUUUCUUGAGUGCCGGAGAGGAAAGCGGAAUUCCUGGUGUAGAGGUGAAAUUCGUAGAUAUCAGGAGGAACACCAGUGGCGAAGGCGGCUUUCUGGACGGUAACUGACGCUGAGACGCGAAAGCGUGGGAGCAAACA